UAGGGAAUCUUCGGCAAUGGACGAAAGUCUGACCGAGCAACGCCGCGUGAGUGAAGAAGGUCUUCGGAUCGUAAAACUCUGUUGUUAGAGAAGAACAAGGACGUUAGUAACUGAACGUCCCCUGACGGUAUCUAACCAGAAAGCCACGGCUAACUACGUGCCAGCAGCCGCGGUAAUACGUAGGUGGCAAGCGUUGUCCGGAUUUAUUGGGCGUAAAGCGAGCGCAGGCGGUUUCUUAAGUCUGAUGUGAAAGCCCCCGGCUCAACCGGGGAGGGUCAUUGGAAACUGGGAGACUUGAGUGCAGAAGAGGAGAGUGGAAUUCCGUGUGUAGCGGUGAAAUGCGUAGAUAUAUGGAGGAACACCAGUGGCGAAGGCGGCUCUCUGGUCUGUAACUGACGCUGAGGCUCGAAAGCGUGGGGAGCAAACAGG
rnacentral:rRNA from 1 species